CCUACGGGGGGCAGCAGUGAGGAAUAUUGGUCAAUGGUCGGGAGACUGAACCAGCCAAGCCGCGUGAGGGAGGAAGGUACAGAGUAUCGUAAACCUCUUUUGUCAGGGAACAAAGGCGGGGACGUGUCCCCGGAUGAGUGUACCUGAAGAAAAAGCAUCGGCUAACUCCGUGCCAGCAGCCGCGGUAAUACGGAGGAUGCGAGCGUUAUCCGGUUUUAGGGGGUUUAAAGGGUGCGCAGGCGGGCUGUUAAGGCAGGGGUAAAAGCCCGGGGCUAAACCCCGGCCCGACGUUGAAACUGGCAGUCGCGAGUUGGAGAGAAGUAUGCGGAAUGCGCGGUGUAGCGGUGAAAUGCAUAGAUAUCGCGCAGAACUCCGAUUGCGAAGGCAGCAUGCCGGCUCCACACUGACGCUGAGGCACGAAAGCGUGGGUAUCGAACAGGAUUAGAUACCCUAGUAGUC
rnacentral:rRNA from 1 species